rnacentral:rRNA from 1 species
UACGGGGGGAGCAAGCGUUGUUCGGAUUUACUGGGCGUAAAGGCGCGUAGGCGGCCACCGCAAGUCGACUGUGAAAUCUCCGGGCUUAACCCGGAAAGGUCAGCCGAUACUGCGGGGCUAGAGUGCAGAAGGGGCAACUGGAAUUCUCGGUGUAGCGGUGAAAUGCGUAGAUAUCGAGAGGAACACCUGCGGCGAAGGCGGGUUGCUGGGCUGACACUGACGCUGAUGCGCGAAAGCUAGGGGAGCGAACGGG